UAGAGCUGCCAGAGGACGAGGUGAGAGACCGCAGCAGGUGCUGAGCUCAGUGCAGGCAGGUAGCGAGCCCUCGUGCUCAUCCCCGUGCCUCCUAAGGGACCAGCUGGACGGUGGCCGGAAGUCUCUGCCGGCCCCAGGCUGUGGUCAGCGACUUGUGGGAAGAGGACACCGCUGGGCAAUCUAAUUUGAGGAGCUUCAAAACAAUCCUCUCCAACAGCUGAGCCAGCAGUAGCCAGAACAUUCUCUGCAGGCCCGGGCAGGGGACGAGCCUGUGCGAUCCGACCACGCGGCUCCAUGGGAGGCCCUGCCUGCCGCUCAGCGGUGCAGGAGCCGGAGAGGAAGGCUGGCUCUGGCCUACGUCCCUAAGAGAGAGGCCCUGUGGUGACCCGCUGAGGUCACGGCUCAACAGCGGGACACAGCAGCAGAAUCUUUGUAGAAAUGACUACUAUAGAAGCCCAAUGAGAGUGCCACUGCCUGGAUGAUGGAGGAUGGAGAGCCGGCUUGGGACCCUGUCUACCAAGCCCCCCACCCCUCGGCAGCCCCUGAAGCUCCUCACUAGAGCCCCCAGGGUCCCCAGAGCUCAGCGUGAAAACCUCUCCUAAGAAAUCCUCCUAGUGGGUGACCCGCGGCCUGCUUUGCAGCUGGACGCUUUUGACGCUGGUCUCCUCCUUCCUGGGUUGGGGGUGUGAACAAAGGAGGGUCCUCUAAAUCUGGUGGAAGGAUGGGAAUGGGGAGCUCUCUAAGAUUCUGGGGUUCAACCCCGGUCAAGGCUGUGUCCACAGGUGAGGCAAAGAAGCCCCAGCUGGGGUCUUCCAGGCAUCCAUCCCCCCCGUGACUCCAGUUUUGUGGAGGAUGGCGGGAUCUUCUGUGAGCAAGUGGUGAUCUAUUUCUGUUCCUGGGUUAAUAAUAAUAGUAGAAGUAGUAGUAAUAAUAAAAAUAAUAGCUAGCA